AUGAACGCUGGCGGCGUGCCUAAUACAUGCCAGUCGAGCGAACAGACGAGGAGCUUGCUCCUCUGACGUUAGCGGCGGACGGGUGAGUAACACGUGGAUAACCUACCUAUAAGACUGGGAUAACUUCGGGAAACCGGAGCUAAUACCGGAUAAUAUAUUGAACCGCAUGGUUCAAUAGUGAAAGACGGUUUUGCUGUCACUUAUAGAUGGAUCCGCGCCGCAUUAGCUAGUUGGUAAGGUAACGGCUUACCAAGGCAACGAUGCGUAGCCGACCUGAGAGGGUGAUCGGCCACACUGGAACUGAGACACGGUCCAGACUCCUACGGGAGGCAGCAGUAGGGAAUCUUCCGCAAUGGGCGAAAGCCUGACGGAGCAACGCCGCGUGAGUGAUGAAGGUCUUCGGAUCGUAAAACUCUGUUAUUAGGGAGGAACAAAUGUGUAAGUAACUAUGCACGUCUUGACGGUACCUAAUCAGAAAGCCACGGCUAACUACGUG
rnacentral:rRNA from 1 species